rnacentral:tRNA from 1 species
AACUGAUUAGCACAGUUGGUAGAGCGCGCCAGUGGAAAUGGAGAGGUCCCUGGUUCGAUACCAGGACCAGGUG